rnacentral:rRNA from 1 species
ACGGAGGGUGCAAGCGUUAUCCGGAUUCACUGGGUUUAAAGGGUGUGUAGGCGGGUGUUUAAGUCAGUGGUGAAAUCUCCAGGCUCAACCUGGAAACUGCCAUUGAUACUAUUCAUCUUGAAUUCUGUUGAGGUGGGCGGAAUAUAUCAUGUAGCGGUGAAAUGCUUAGAUAUGACACAGAACACCGAUUGCGAAGGCAGCUCACAAAACUGUAACUGACGCUGAGGCACGAAAGCGUGGGUAUCAAACAGGA